rnacentral:rRNA from 1 species
AUUGAACGCUAGCGGGAUGCUUUACACAUGCAAGUCGUACGAGUGGCGGACGGGUGAGUAAUAUAUCGGAACGUGCCCAGUAGCGGGGGAUAACUACUCGAAAGAGUGGCUAAUACCGCAUACUAUCGGAGCAGCCGAUUUCGGAUUAGCUAGUUGGUGGGGUAAAGGCGCACCAAGGCAACGAUCCGUAGCUGGUCUGAGAGGAUUACCAGACACACUGGAACUGAGACAAGGCCCAGACUCCUACGGGAGGCAGCAGUGGGGAAUUUUGGACAAUGGGGGAAACCCUGAUCCAGCCAUCCCGCGUGUAUGAGAAGCCCUUCGGGUUUUAAAGUACUUUUGGCAGAGAAGCGGUAUCUGCAGAAUAAGCACCGGCUAACUACGUGCCAGCAGCCGCGGUAAUAC